rnacentral:lncRNA from 1 species
GAUGUUAUGAGGUUAUCUUAAGGGUAUAAACUUGAAUAUCAUUACUGACUAAUCCAAAAAUCUCCUUGUCACAUAGCGCUUACGAUUUUCUCAUUCCAUCGGUGUUCAUUGAGGUUACUUCUUAUGAUGAGUCCCCUAACUUAAUUAAGGUAAGAUUUGGAUUUGGAUAGAAUUCUCUAAUGCAAUUUGUGAUAACAAGUUGUCUAAAAUAGACCGGUCGGUCGCUAAGGGAAAGUAAAACAUAAUUGUCUCGAUUUACUGAUGGUGAUGCUACUACUAAUUGAGUUGACUAACUUUGGGCUGCUUGUUGAUUAAUCAAUCACAAAGAUAGUUGAUAAUGUUCAAAAGAAUACUUAUUGUUCUCGGCUAACAUUUGCGAACUUACAUUGGACUAACCUAGUUACUGAGAAUGGAACUAAAGGAUUCGUAUCAUUAAUACUGACCAUGAUACUACUUAUAUAUCUCUGGAUAGUUUUGGAAUUUUAUCCGAAAUGAGUUGGUAAGAUCUCAUAAAGAAAGGUGAAUUGAAUUGAUUCCAUUAACGUUUCCAACGUUCGAGGGUACCUGACGAUGUUGUUUAACAAAUUGACAAGACACGUGAGAACUUGAACUGAAAUUACUCAUGACCUUGCAUAAUUAAUUAGACUUAUGUGAUUAUGAACCGGUCAUCAGUAAUGAAACUAGAGGAUUGAAGAAUCUCUUGGUGGUAAACAUAAUGUUACUGCUCUGAAGGUCAACAUGAAUAACUGACAGUCCUUAAAAAAAAACAUGACUUAUUACUCUUAACAAGUAAUUCAAACGUACCUCUGUCCAAACAGAUUAC